AUCGGGGUAAGCUUGGGGUAACGCUAAAUUCAUAGCCCUGAAACCCUUGCCAUACAAGGAGUGAUUCACAGCUUCCCAAGCUGAGUGCCGACGGUUCGAGUCCGUUCACCCGCUU
rnacentral:tRNA from 1 species